CGAUUUCGGUCUCAUCCUGGCCGACCUAAAAUCCGUUUGCUUCCUUCCGACGUGUUCAGAAGACCCAGAGGGGAAAGAUCCGAUGGUCGGAGAGAACGGAAGCGACGCGGCUCCAGGCUCGGACGAGGCGGCGGGUGAAGAGGGGGCGUAAGUUCUGAGGGUGACUUGGGUUAGAUCUCUUGCGAGAGAUUUGUUUUUUUUUUAUGUCUUUAUGUUUCGGCCUUGAAUGGCCUUGUUUGUAUUUCGGGACUGGCCGUGUGUGGCUUUGAAUCCCUGCCGCUCCGCGGCUUUAUAGUAUGAUAAUCGGAUAACGCUUUUUUAUGAAUUUGUGAAUAGUGGGGAGGAAGGUGAUGAGUUGUCGUCUCAUAUCCUUCUUCGAUUGUGAAAUGUUUUAUUCGAGACCUGUUUCGAGAGUUCUUCCGCGAGAUGUGAACUCUGCGGGGGUGCUGAAGGUGUCGAACGUAAACAUAGAGGCGUGGUUUAAGAAUCUCUUAUCUUUCGAUAUCAUGCCUUUGAGAUGUUAGAGACCAGUGCGCUGGGUUUAGGGCAAGACCUAGGUUUACUUUCGGUUUAAGGAUUGUGUGGUGACUAACCGGCUAUCGUUUUUCCUGUCGCGAUUUCUUCCUGAUUCGUAUCGAUGUAAAGUCCGCGAAAAGUUCUCGGCUUAUACGACUUGUUUGAUACGAAUCGAGCAUCUCUCCGGAGACCGGAAGUGCUAGACCAAAAUUUCGGAUUUCUUUUAUAGCGCUAUUAUCCUUGUGUCGGAUGUAAGAGAGUCAUCUCCAUGAGAUGGCUAUGUCUGUUUAGGACAUUUGUGAGUUCGAUGUGAUCAGCAUCGGACUUGGUGGCGUGUGCCGUUGUUUUGAUUAAUUUGCGCAAAAUAAAUGUUAAUGUGUGCAUAUAUGUGUCUUUUUGCGGAGAUUUCGUUUGCUCGGAAGCAACCAACUUUGAGGCAUCUUUUGCGACGUCUCGCGAUGCUAAAGGUUUGAUUCUCCCAAGCGGCCGACUAAUUUCCGAAGACCUUGUUGUGAUUUCGCGGGUGAGGACGUUUUGAUAAGUCGAAAACACCAAAAGUGCGGUAAGAAGUUUUUCGAUUUUGUGGGAGUAUACGAGUAUACGUACCCACUCCCCCCCUUUUUAAUGAGGGGGGACAGCUGAAUUUGCCUUUCGGCAAACUGCCUACGUACUCCUUGCGGAGAUCAAGCUGUCUCGUAGUUCAGUGAUUGCGAGUUGGUUUGUUUAGUGAUAGUAUUUUUUGAGAUGCAUCGCAUUCCAGGUUCUAGGGAUUUUUAUGCCCUGCAUGUUGGCUAUUUCGUAAGAACCUGGUCGGACGACUUUUUCGAUUUUAUAGGGACCUUCCCAGUUUGCUCCGAGUUUUCCCGCGUUUCGUUCAGCGGUGUUUUGGAAGACUUUGCGAAGGACCAGAUCUCCCUGAUUGAACCUACGGUUCCGUACGUUGGAGUUAUAGUAUCUCGCAGCGGCGUGCUGGUAGUUUUGAAUUCGGAUGAGCGCUCGAUCCCGGCGUUCGUUAAUGAAACGAGUGCUCGGUCGCUACGUAGCGACCGAGCUUUGGCUUGAGCUCGGUCGCUACGUAGCGACCGAGCUUUGGCUCGAGCUCGGUCGCUACGUAGCGACCGAGCGGGACGAUCGAGCGGGACGAUCGCUCGGUCGCUACGUAGCAAUCGAGCGGGACGAUCGUUCGGUUUGAAUCCCAAAGGAUACUUCUUCGUAAAAAACCUCGUAUAAGUUACGCGAAGGUUUUUCGUAAGGAAGAAUCUAUUUCGAAAAGUACUCUUCGGAGAAACUCUUAUUUUCUUCUUCGGACGUUUUGAAUGUUAAAUUUGUCGUAACCGUUUUUGACCCCAACAGUUAGCCCCCCAGCCCGUUAGAGUUGUGACUCUAGCGGGCGGAUAGAUGACUUUGACAAGGUUAAGUGUAUUGGACGAAAUUUACAGUUAAAACUCCACGGAAAAAAGUUGUCGAGGCGACAUUCCGAACCCAUACUUCUAUAAGUAGUGAGCUCUUGUCAUUCAUUUUCUUCACACCUUUCCUUCUUCAUUUUCUUCAAAAACCUCUCUAGUUUCAUAACUUUCCUUUCAACAUGUCUUCCUCCCAAGGUGAUAAGAAGGAUUCCGACGUCGAGAUGGGUGAGGCCACUUCUCCGGCUCUGGUUCCAACUUCUCUGGCGGAAGUGCCGGCUUGUGUUGCCGGUCAUCUUUCUUUCCGAGAGAAACUAGUUCGUCGCCAAGCCGAGAAAGAAUUGGCUCAGACUGGCUCCGAGUUUCCGUCUUCCUCCGCGCAGGUCGUUGCCCCGUGUCAUGGGACCGACGUCGCGGCUCCUCUCCCGCAAGUCCUACCUGCGGGAUCUUCCACGACUCCGAUCCUCGUCGAGGACAAAGAGAAGGCCGCUGACUCUAUGCCUCCGCCUCCAGCCAGAAAAGAAAUCGUUCUGGCAUUGCGUGCUCCUAGCGCUGUCCAGGCUACUCAGCCUAAGAGUCGGAAGAGGAAACUGGCCAAGAGCGGUGACGGGGAGACUUCGCAGCGAGGUGGGUCGAGCCUAGCAUCGGGACUUUGCGGAAAGGUUUGUUUCUUGUUUGAAUUCUCGAUCGUCUUUCGUGCAUUCUUUUCACGGACUUAGUCUUAAGAAUUUUUACCGUUCGCAGUUCAUAUCGUUGAUCGAUGGGAUGAUCAGCGAAUGUGGUUCUGAGACCAGUCGUCUUUCCGGGGAGUUGGUGGAGCUUCAGGGCAGAUGGUCCGAAACCGAGGCUAUGUUGACGGCUGUCGAGGACUCUCACUCUGCGAAAGUGUCGAAGCUCGAGGUUGCGAUAGGAGAGCUUGAGAGGGACCUCGGGAAGACGGCGAGUUCCUUGCUUAAGGAAAAGAAGGCCAGGAAGGCCAAAUCCUCGGAGGUGCGUCGACUCCAGCGUCAGGUCGAGAGUGACGCUGGACUAGCGCGCCGCGGGAUCCAAGAGGCUACGGAUGCCAUUCGCGCGGAGUUUCAGGCUCGCUUGGCGAAGAUUUCUGCUUCCCUGGGUUCCCUCGAGUGUAUCCGGAGCAGGGAUUUCGCUUUGGCGACGAUUGAGGGCGGGAUGGACGUGGUUCGGUCAAUCCAAAGUGAGACUCCCCCGACCUUGGAGGCCGAAGAGGCCCGACUGUCCGGCUGCAAGGGAGAUAUGGCGGCCGAGGAUGGCGAUUUCGGUCUCAUCCUGGCCAACCUAAAAUCCGCUUGCUUCCUUCCGACGUGUUCAGAAGACCCAGAGGGGAAAGAUCCAAUGGUCGGAGAGAACGGAAGCGACGCGGCUCCAGGCUCGGACGAGGCGGCGGGUGAAGAGGGGGCGUAAGUUCUGAGGGUGACUUGGGUUAGAUCUCUUGCGAGAGAUUUGUUUUUUUUUUAUGUCUUUAUGUUUCGGCCUUGAAUGGCCUUGUUUGUAUUUUGGGACUGGCCGUGUGUGGCUUUGAAUCCCUGCCGCUCCGCGGCUUUAUAGUAUGAUAAUCGGAUAACGCUUUUUUAUGAAUUUGUGAAUAGUGGGGAGGAAGGUGAUGAGUUGUCGUCUCAUAUCCUUCUUCGAUUGUGAAAUGUUUUAUUCGAGACCUGUUUCGAGAGUUCUUCCGCGAGAUGUGAACUCUGCGGGGGUGCUGAAGGUGUCGAACGUAAACAUAGAGGCGUGGUUUAAGAAUCUCUUAUCUUUCGAUAUCAUGCCUUUGAGAUGUUAGAGACCAGUGCGCUGGGUUUAGGGCAAGACCUAGGUUUACUUUCGGUUUAAGGAUUGUGCGGUG
rnacentral:lncRNA from 1 species